AGUGUAGUACGGUAACAUGCCUGCUUUCUAAUCAGGUGAUAGAGGUUUAAAUCCUGCUG
rnacentral:tRNA from 13 species